rnacentral:rRNA from 1 species
GACGAACGCUGGCGGCGUGCUUAACACAUGCAAGUCGAACGGAAAGGCCCUGCUUUUGUGGGGUGCUCGAGUGGCGAACGGGUGAGUAACACGUGAGUAACCUGCCCUUGACUUUGGGAUAACUUCAGGAAACUGGGGCUAAUACCGGAUAGGAGCUCCUGCUGCAUGGUGGGGGUUGGAAAGUUUCGGCGGUUGGGGAUGGACUCGCGGCUUAUCAGCUUGUUGGUGGGGUAGUGGCUUACCAAGGCUUUUACGGGUAGCCGGCCUGAGAGGGUGACCGGCCACAUUGGGACUGAGAUACGGCCCAGACUCCUACGGGAGGCAGCAGUGGGGAAUAUUGCACAAUGGGCGGAAGCCUGAUGCAGCAACGCCGCGUGCGGGAUGACGGCCUUCGGGUUGUAAACCGCUUUCGCCUGUGACGAAGCGUGAGUGACGGUAAUGGGUAAAGAAGCACCGGCUAACUACGCG